rnacentral:lncRNA from 1 species
ACGUACACAGCUUGCUAUACAUCUCAUAAUAGGAAUCUCAAAGAGCAAAUCUAGAAAUUUAGGCUACGAAUUAAAUUACCUUGUGAAUACUGGGUCCGGCGGGGUGGGGGCUCUAACACAAACAACAUAGACAAUCUCAUCAGUCAUCAGCAAUGGUUUCACAUGUUCGACUUUGUUUCUCAAAAAUCCUCAUGUUUCUUUCGAUCCUGAUGGCAUGUAUGACUUCUGUACUUAGCAUCUUGAAGAUUAAUGCUUGUGGUGAUCUCCCCUUAGCUUUGUGAAUCAUCCACUGUAUGUGAUCAAAAAUUACCUGUCAGAUAUAUUAAAGUGGAGUGAUCAUCUGAAAACUACAUACUCAAUUGAACUUACUCCUUUAACCUUCAUUUUAUAUAGAGAAGUAUCACUACAUAAUAAAACAAAUUCAUGUAUAAUGUAACGAAAAAAAUAUAUGAUUUUGUUAUUUUAUACAACAAUCGGAGAGAAAGAGAGAAAAUAAUGCUAGUGAAUGAGGGUUCCUAGGUUUUUUUAUGUGGUC